UAAUUAAAAGUAAAAUAAAAUAACCACUUCAUACCCAUUAGGAUGGCUACUGUUUAAAAAAAUGGGAAUUAACAAGGGUUGAUGAGGAUGUGACGAAACUGCACUGCUGCUGAGAAUGUAGACUAGUUUAGCUACUAUAGAAACCAGUACGGUGGUUCCUCAAAAAAUUAAAAUAGAACUACCAUAUGAUCCAGCAAUCCCACUUCCGAGUAUACGUCCAAAAGAAGUGAAAGCAGAGGCUAGAAGAGAUACUUGUACACCCAGGUUCAUAGCAGCAUUAUUCACCGUAACCAAAAGGUGGAAAUGACCCAAGUGUCCACCAGUGAACGAAUGGACAAACAAAAUGUUGUGUAGACAUACAGUAGGGUAUUAUUCAGCCUUAACAAGGAAGGAGAUUCUGACACAUGCUACAAUGUCGAUGAACCUUGAGGCCAUUAUGCUGAGUAAAAUACACUAGUCACUAAAGGACAAAUACUGCAUGAUUCCACUGAUAUGAAGUCCCUAGAGUAGUCAAAUUCAUAGAGACAGAGAAAACAAUGGUGAUUGCCAGGGGAGGAGGGGACCAGGCCAUGGGGAGUUAUCGUUUUAAUGAGUAUUGAGUUUCAGUUUUGCAAGAUGAAAAAGAUCUGAAGAUGGUUGUAAAACCAUGUGAAUGUAUUUAAUACCACUGACUGUACACUUAAAAACGAUUAAACUAAAUUUUAUGUUUUACUAUAAUCAGAAAAAUAAAAUUAAAAAAUAAACCAAAGGUCAAAAUAUAACUUAGUUCAUUAAAAUAAACACACUCAAGUGGAUGGCUGAAUGAAUACAGUUAAAAAUAAAUCAGUAAACUGGAUGUCUGAGCCAUUCUCUUAGAAUGUAACAUAGAGGGAUAAAGGGUGGAUAGCAAAAGCAAUAUGGACUCAAUGUAGAAACACUGCAAGAUACAGAAAGGCUUCCAGGAAAAAAAAUACUCAUCCCUGAGCUAGAGAUAACUAUUACUAAUAUUCGAUUCAUGUACUUGAGCUCCUUUUUCCUAUAUGUUUAUGUGGGAUCAUACAGUAAGUUUUCCUUCAUUAGCUGCUCUUUUUAGUAAUGUAUCACAAAUAUAUUCCUAUGCCAUUGAAUACCCUUCAAAAGAGACAAUUUUAUAAGCUGCAUAGUAUUUCAUUUUCUGAUUAUUCCAUAAGUGAUUGAACGAAAUGCCUGUCAUUGAAUAAUGAGUUUGUUUCCCGUAUCUUACCAUGUAAAACUGAAGCAGACAUUUUUUGUGGUUAAUUUGGGGCCACGUCCUCAAGAUACUACUUUGGGAUACACUCUUAGAAGUGGAACCGUUUGCAGGCGUUUGGUCCGUAAAGCAAACAGCUCUCUUGAGGGGUUAUUCCGACGUUCUUCUCACUAGCUAAGUAAAGCACGGCAGGGUUGUCCAGCACCCUUGGCUUUGCUGCUCUUAUCACUUGGAAGCUGCUGUAUCCUUCUCUCCAGUGAAGCUGGUGGCCUGGUUGCCAGUUCAGUGCUCCAAGCCUACAGGGAGAGGCCAGACGGCCAAGGGCAGGAUGAUCUUGGCAGUGGCAUUUGUCCCUGGGAGGCUUCUUCUCCAGGUUUGGCAAAGCUCUGAUGCUACAGAGGUGGAGACUGAAUGACCACCUCCCUUUCCAUGCCUGCUUCCGGCUGCAUGUGGGAGACCCCUGAUAUUGGGGCAGAAACCGUACCGCUACUGGCCUUUCCCUCUGGGCACAGCUGUCCUCAGCUAUUGUCUGGCCUCCAUCCCUGACUGUCUCUCUGUGCUUUACUGACCAGCACUGCCCUCCCUGCUUUCAGCCUGCUGUGGCCAUUUGUGUCCCCAGAGCUCUUGGCAAACCUCCACUGCUCCACUGUAGCUAAAAAUACUCUGAGCAGAGGGUUGCUUUUCAGCCCAAGCCUUCCCCCACUCCCAGUUCCAAGCACCUACAAAUUACGGGUAUCCAUGGAGCUUCCUCUUCGCUUCCUUUGAGGCCAUACGGUUAUCUCUGGGAGGUGAAAGGGAGUGAGUUCUUGGCGUCUUUUCCAUGUCAUCCCAAUAUGUUCCCUUAUGGUGCUGCAUUCGGGUGUCAGCCUGUCUUAGCUUUCAGAAACAAAGCAAUGUUUUUUCCUCUAUUUUUGUGUUCAUUUGGGCAUCGUUGCCAGAAUUAAGAGUCACAUGUUUGCACUCAGGUCGCUUCUUUUUUGUUUAAAUUAAGUUUCUUUAUUAAAAAAAUCAAAAUCAUUACAAUGUUAUAUUUAAGGACAAAAAGAGACAAUAAAAACCAAUGUGAUAUUUCCUCCCAAUGUUCAAAUAAAAACGUGAUAAUUAUUGUGACCAAUUACACAAUAAUUGUUAGGCAAUAUUUAUAUCAUUCUAGAAAUUUCCAUAACUUGCCUAGGAACCAAUAAGAAGAUCUGAGAAAAUAUUAAGGUUAAAACAAAAAGGAAUCCUCAGUACAUGCUGUUCUUUACUACACACUAUUUACAUUAGUGAUUUUAAUCUAAUCAUAAAAUACCAGCUCUACUAUAUUAAAUUCUCUUCAAGACUGACAAUUAGUCCAAUUUGGUUUUCUUGGUACAAACACAGGUAUUUAUUCUAAUCAAGUUGCUUCUUUAUUCAUAAGUUCUGGGCUCUCAAUUCUGAGUUUCUCAUCUGUCUGGGGCUUUUCUUGCCCCAGUACUACACUAUUUGAAUUAUUCUAGAUUUAUGAUAGAUUUUCAUGCCUGAUAGGGAGGAUCUCACAUCACCCUUCUUUUAUAAAUGUGUCUUGACUACUCUAGCCUGCUUUUCCCCCAAAAUGAAUUUCAGGAUGUGAGUAGCAGGUUCCAUCAUCACCCCAAGAACCUACCUCCCCAGAAGCAGGAGGAAUAUGUUCCUUUAAUAUUCUGUAAUCACAAGUGCGAACCCUACCUGGAUAGGUAGCAUCAUCCUGGUUAAGAUUAUUAAAGAAUAUAUAGAAACCUCUGGGUCAAGUAUAGUGCAGGACCAGGACUAGGUUCCCUGCAUGCAGCUGGGGCUGAGACUGGAUACCCAACCCAAGAAUGGGAGCUAGGAGUACUAUUCACAAUAGCCAAGACCUGGAAACAACCUAAACGUCCAUCGACAGGUGAAUGGAUAAAGAUGUGCUAUACACAGACAAUGGAAUAUUAUUCAGCCAUAAAAAAGAACGAAAUAAUGCCAUGUGCAGCAACAUGGAUGGACCUAGAGAUUAUCAUACCAAGUGAAGUCAGUCAGAAAGAGAAAGACAAAUACCAUAUGAUAUCACUUACAUGUGGGAUCUAAAAUAUGACACAAACGAAUCCAUCUACAAAAGAGAGAUAGACUCCCAGACAGAGAAGAGACUUGUGGUUGCCAACGGGGAGGUGGGUAGGGGACAGAAGGAUUGGGGGUUUGGGAUUAACAGAUGCAAACUAUUAUAUAUAGAAUGAAUUAACAACAAGGUCCUCCUGUAGAGCUCAGGGAACUAGAUUCAAUAUCCUGUGAUAAACCACAAUGGAAAAGAAUCUGAAAAAGAAUGUAUAUAUAUGUCUAACUGAAUCACUUGCCUAUAGAGCAGAAAUCAAUACAACAUUGUAAAUCAACUAUACUUCAAUAAAGUAAAUAAAUUAAAAAAAAAGGAUGGGAGCUAGAAUAUCUCUACACACCACUGGGUUGCAACCAGAACAUGUCAGUUGCCUGGGCCCAGCAGAGGAAGCAGGGCCAGUCAGGAUGGGAAGGACCAGGUACAACUGUGCACGUCUCUGAAGAGUUUCAGGUUAAAGAGGAGGGAGCUAUUGGGAUUGAUGGACACUGUGACAUUUCUCUUGUCACACAGAAAACCACCUCUGCUACAUGCCCAGACAGACCUUUCCUGAUGCAAAAGGGAAGCAAUAUGAUGGAGCAAGGGUGGGAAUGGAAAACAGAGACUCAACUUUGAUUCCACCACGCCGGGUGACCUUGAAAUACGACAUGGGCCCAUGAAGUUGCAUCCUACAAAGAAGUUGCUGAGAUCUGUGUGCUAAGCUUCUAUUUGGUCCAUCUAAGUAAACCAUCACUGCGAUGAGCAUCAUCCUUACCCAUCACACCUCCCGUGUUGCCAUGGAGACACUGCCUUCCUAAGACCAUCAUAUUAUUCAUAUUUGAUUGAUUUUCUGUUCUACCCUCCCUCUACUCAACUGUUUUUUUUCCUACCAAAUCCUCCAUUUUUCCUAAACAAAUUUCUCUCAGCCUCGCUUUACCUGUGGUCUCUACGCAGCUCACUUGCCAUCACCCUUCGGCCUCUAAGAAUGGUCAUAUUUUCUAAAGCGGUGGUCCCCAACCUUCUCGGCACCAGGGACCGGUUUCGUGGAAGACACUUUUUCCACGGACGGCGGGUGAGGGAUGGUUCAGGUGGUAAUGCCAGCGCUGGGGAGCUCUGGGGAGCGAUGGCGCGACGGGGAGCGGCAGAUGAAGCUUCGCUCGCUCGCCUGCCGCUCACCUCCUGCUGUGUGGCCCGGUUCCUAACAGGCCGCACACCGGUACCAGUCUGCGGGCCGGGUAUUGGGGACCCCUGUUCUAAAGGAACCCCAGAAUGCAUGGUCUAACAAGAUACUGUUUCUGAAUUAUAAAUUAAUUUGUAUUUAAACGUAACCAAAGUCAUAAACUAAUUUGUGUUUAUUUUA